GGUUAAGUUAGAAAGGGCGCACGGUGGAUGCCUUGGCACUAGGAGCCGAAGAAGGACGGGACUAACACCGAUAUGCUUUGGGGAGCUGUACGUAAGCGUUGAUCCAGAGAUUUCCGAAUGGGGGAACCCACUAUCUUUAGUCGGAUAGUAUCCUUACGUGAAUACAUAGCGUGAGGAAGGCAGACCCAGGGACCUGAAACAUCUAAGUACCUGGAGGAAGAGACAGAAAAAUCGAUUUCCUGAGUAGCGGCGAGCGAAACGGAAAGAGCCCAACCCAAGAAGCUUGCUUCUUGGGGUUGUAGGACACUCUAUACGGAGUUACAAAAGAAAGUUAUAAAUGAAGCGGUCUGGAAAGGCCCGCCAAAGACGGUAACAGCCCGGUAGUUGAAAUAGCUUUCCCUCCAGAGUGGAUCCUGAGUACGGCGGAACACGUGAAAUUCCGUCGGAAUCCGGGAGGACCAUCUCCCAAGGCUAAAUACUCCCUAGUGACCGAUAGUGAACCAGUACCGUGAGGGAAAGGUGAAAAGCACCCCGGAAGGGGAGUGAAACAGUUCCUGAAACCGUGUGCCUACAAGUAGUUAGAGCCCGUUAAUGGGUGAUAGCGUGCCUUUUGUAGAAUGAACCGGCGAGUUACGAUUUGUUGCAAGGUUAAGCGGAAAAAGCGGAGCCGUAGCGAAAGCGAGUCUGAAUAGGGCGCAUAAGUAACAGGUCGUAGACCCGAAACCAGGUGAUCUACCCAUGUCCAGGAUGAAGGUAAGGUAAUACUUACUGGAGGUCCGAACCCACGCACGUUGAAAAGUGCGGGGAUGAGGUGUGGGUAGCGGAGAAAUUCCAAUCGAACUUGGAGAUAGCUGGUUCUCUCCGAAAUAGCUUUAGGGCUAGCCUCGAGGUAAAGAGUCAUGGAGGUAGAGCACUGUUUGGACUAGGGGCCCUUCUCGGGUUACCGAAUUCAGAUAAACUCCGAAUGCCAUGUACUUAUACUCGGGAGUCAGACUGCGAGUGAUAAGAUCCGUAGUCGAAAGGGAAACAGCCCAGACCACCAGUUAAGGUCCCCAAAUAUAUGUUAAGUGGAAAAGGAUGUGGGGUUGCUUAGACAACCAGGAUGUUGGCUUAGAAGCAGCCACCAUUGAAAGAGUGCGUAAUAGCUCACUGGUCGAGUGACCCCGCGCCGAAAAUGUACCGGGGCUAAACAUAUUACCGAAACGGGGGAUGAACCUCUUUAGAGGUUCGUGGUAGGAGAGCGUUCUAAGGGCGGUGAAGUCAGACCGGAAGGACUGGUGGAGCGCUUAGAAGUGAGAAUGCCGGUAUGAGUAGCGAAAGAAGGGUGAGAAUCCCUUCCACCGAAUAUCUAAGGUUUCCUGAGGAAGGCUCGUCCGCUCAGGGUUAGUCGGGACCUAAGCCGAGGCCGAUAGGCGUAGGCGAUGGACAACAGGUAGAGAUUCCUGUACCAGUGCUAAUUGUUUAACCGAUGGGGUGACACAGAAGGAUAGGGAAUCGCACGAAUGGAAAUGUGCGUCCAAGCAGUGAGUGUGAGAAGUAGGCAAAUCCGCUUCUCGCGAAGCAUGAGCUGUGAUGGGGAAGGAAAUUAAGUACGGAAGUUCCUGAUUUCACGCUGUCAAGAAAAGCCUCUAGGAAGAGUAGUACUGCCCGUACCGCAAACCGACACAGGUAGAUGAGGAGAGAAUCCUAAGGUGAGCGAGAGAACUCUCGUUAAGGAACUCGGCAAAAUGACCCCGUAACUUCGGGAGAAGGGGUGCUCUAUUAGGGUGCAAGCCCGAGAGAGCCGCAGUGAAUAGGCCCAGGCGACUGUUUAGCAAAAACACAGGUCUCUGCAAAACCGUAAGGUGACGUAUAGGGGCUGACGCCUGCCCGGUGCUGGAAGGUUAAGAGGAGUGCUUAGCUUCGGCGAAGGUACGAAUUGAAGCCCCAGUAAACGGCGGCCGUAACUAUAACGGUCCUAAGGUAGCGAAAUUCCUUGUCGGGUAAGUUCCGACCCGCACGAAAGGCGCAACGAUCUGGGCACUGUCUCAACGAGAGACUCGGUGAAAUUAUAGUACCUGUGAAGAUGCAGGUUACCCGCGACAGGACGGAAAGACCCCGUGGAGCUUUACUGCAACCUGAUAUGGAAUGUUUGUACCGCUUGUACAGGAUAGGUAGGAGCCGAAGAGACGUGUGCGCUAGCAUACGAGGAGGCAAUGGUGGGAUACUACCCUGGCUGU
rnacentral:rRNA from 1 species